rnacentral:rRNA from 1 species
AUUGAACGCUGGCGGCAUGCCUUACACAUGCAAGUCGAACGGCAGCACGGGAGCAAUCCUGGUGGCGAGUGGCGAACGGGUGAGUAAUAUAUCGGAACGUGCCCAGUCGUGGGGAUAACGUAGCGAAAGCUACGCUAAUACCGCAUACUAUCUAUGGAUGAAAGCGGGGGAUCGCAAGACCUCGCGCGAUUGGAGCGGCCGAUAUCAGAUUAGGUAGUUGGUGAGGUAAAGGCUCACCAAGCCGACGAUCUGUAGCUGGUCUGAGAGGACGACCAGCCACACUGGGACUGAGACACGGCCCAGACUCCUACGGGAGGCAGCAGUGGGGAAUUUUGGACAAUGGGCGCAAGCCUGAUCCAGCAAUGCCGCGUGCAGGAUGAAGGCCUUCGGUUGUAAC